CCUACGGGGGGCUGCAGUCGAGAAUCAUUCACAAUGGGGGAAACCCUGAUGGUGCGACGCCGCGUGGGGGAAUGAAGGUCUUCGGAUUGUAAACCCCUGUCAUGUGGGAGCAAAUUAAAAAGAUAGUACCACAAGAGGAAGAGACGGCUAACUCUGUGCCAGCAGCCGCGGUAAUACAGAGGUCUCAAGCGUUGUUCGGAAUCACUGGGCGUAAAGCGUGCGUAGGCUGUUUCGUAAGUCGUGUGUGAAAGGUGCGGGCUCAACCCGCGGACGGCACAUGAUACUGCGAGACUAGAGUAAUGGAUGGGGAACCGGAAUUCUCGGUGUAGCAGUGAAAUGCGUAGAUAUCGAGAGGAACACUCGUGGCGAAGGCGGGUUCCUGGACAUUAACUGACGCUGAGGCACGAAGGCCAGGGGAGCGAAAGGGAUUAGAUACCCGGGUAGUC
rnacentral:rRNA from 1 species